rnacentral:rRNA from 1 species
CCCUUAGAUGUUCGGGGCUGCACGCGCGCUACACUGACUGGCUCAGCGUGUGCCUACCCUACGCCGGCAGGCGCGGGUAACCCGUUGAACCCCAUUCGUGAUGGGGAUCGGGGAUUGCAAUUAUUCCCCAUGAACGAGGAAUUCCCAGUAAGUGCGGGUCAUAAGCUUGCGUUGAUUAAGUCCCUGCCCUUUGUACACACCGCCCGUCGCUACUACCGAUUGGAUGGUUUAGUGAGGCCCUCGGAUCGGCCCCGCCGGGGUCGGCCCACGGCCCUGGCGGAGCGCUGAGAAGACGGUCGAACUUGACUAUCUAGAGGAAGUAAAAGUCGUAACA